GAAGGAGCCCGGGGAGGGAGGGGGAGGGGCCGGGAGCUGGGGGUAAGGGAGGAGUGAGCCUGGGUGCUGUGGGGGGAGGGGGUUGUUCAAGGGAUGGGGACGAUCAGGGUCUCUGGGAAGUGCUGACGUGUGCGCGUGUGCGGUGUGUUGCUUGUGGGUGCGUGUGUGGUGUGUGCAUGUGUGUGCGCGCGCGUGUGUGCGGGGUGUGCCGUGAGCGUGUGCCCGCGGUUCGGGGGAUGAGUAGGGGCGCUGACUUUUAGGACCAGCCAUUUGAGUCAAGCUGGAGACGACGUCUUAGAACCUAGGAUGAGUCUCGUUUGGUUUUAGUCUGCAAAGCUCGUCUGCAUCAGACAGGAAUUUUCCCCAGACGCGGGUGCACGUGAAUUAAUUCAUCAGAAGGCGGUUCACGGCCUGAGUGAGGGGGACGAGGGCGGCGAAUUCCUCCGCCUCAUUCCUACCCUGACGAUUCGAGCCUUAGCAAGUUCUGGCCUGUGGAGCCGUCAUCCAGAGCGCACAGCUUCAUGCCCUUGAAGGGCGCAGUGUGUCCCGUGGUGCCCGGUGGGCCCGGACAGAGACCCCAGAGGCUCUGUCUGAAGGAAGCUGCACCCACAGACUCCAUCCAGGCAGCGCGGGCGCGGUCCUGUCGCCUACCUUUCUCGGAAGCCAUCUGCCCAUGUGAAUCUAUGUGAAGGCCCUUCAUGCGCUCCUGGACAUCUGCGUGGGAUUUACUUCAACUGCUAUCGCUGCGAGGAGGACGAGCAUGUUUCACUGUAUUUUUAGCAGAGAGUGCAGAUUUUAGAACCUCGCGAACGGUCCUGUAUCUCCUGCACGAUGACUCUCCAGAACAGGAAUAGUGACCCUUCCUUUGCAUUUAUGGUGCAUAGGUUUUCAAAGGACAGUGUGUAAAUCAGCUUGUGUAAUAAUUGUGGCACCCACGCGCGCAAGCAGACUUACCAUGAGCUGACUUCCACUGAUUAUUUCAGUUUCCAGGGAAACGAGGUUUGCAGCCCCCUCCAGUGAGGGCGGAGCGGCCUCUCCAUUCCCAAUGCAGCAAGGCUGCUGCAGCCACGAUGAUUAGGCUUUGGAGGAGGAAGUGAACGGAUGGGGCCUCAUCCUCCUGCCUCCCUAAAGGGUGAGGGUGGAAGGAUGGGGCUGUGCCCUCUUAGGGCAGGGAAAAACAGCUUGGAGGGGUUUCUGCCAUCAGAGAUCCCAUAGGAGGCAGGUCAGUCCUGCAGAAUUUCUCCCCAGUCUGGCCUCCAGCCUCCCUGGCCCCUUUCUAGAGGCCUCCAUCCCACUGGCGGCUUGCUCCUGCCACCGGGCCUCUGCACAGUCACCUCCUGCAGCCUGGGGUGUGUCGCCUCUCCACGUCCUCACCGGCGUCUGCCUUUGCAUUUCCCAGAUGCUCGCUUCACCCCACUGAGAUGUAACUCAGUUUUGUGGGAUCCCACUGCCCUCCAGGUGCCGCUCCGAGUGCUCUACACAGAUUUUCAUUCAGUCCUUGCGGCACACGAAGGACAAGUCCCAGGUGGCCUUGGAAUGAACAAGCCCCUCCCUUCUCACGCGUACUUCUCGAGAAUACCUGAAGAAUGUGCCAGGAAUGCAACCACCUGGUCUAGGGAAGGACCGGCCGGACAGCCCUGGCUCUGCUCCUGUGCCUCCUAGGGCAGGAUGUCCCACACACUGUAGCCCUAUGAGUCACCCCUGGCUAUGGAACCCAGAGCAGAGUGCACCUUUGGGAUCUCUCAGCUGUGGUGUGAAGCGGGACACACAUAGACAAGGCUCCAUUCGUUCUGGGCAGCUUUCCCGAGCCUCGGGGACCCGCUCACCAUGGAUCCUAAGCUUCUGCUGUUCCCUGCUGCCUGCCUGUGAGUAAUAAAGUUGCUUUCAUAACUGGUUGUGUGUGUGUUCUGUCUCCCUGGACUCUUGCACGUGGGUUGAUGCUGGUUCAUGGUAUUGGGAGUUCUCUAG
rnacentral:lncRNA from 1 species